AGAGUUUGAUCCUGGCUCAGGAUGAACGCUAGCGGCAGGCCUAAUACAUGCAAGUCAAGGGGUAGCAAUACACCGGCGGACGGGUGCGUAACGCGUACACAACGUGCCCUUGAGCGGGGGAUAGCAUUGGGAAACUGAUGGUAACACCCCAUGGUGUUGUAGAUAGGCAUCUAUCUUCAACUAAAGGAUACACUCAAGGAUCGGUGUGCGUUUGAUUAGCUAGUUGGUAGGGUAACGGCCUACCAAGGCGACGAUCAAUAGGGGGUGUGAGAGCAUGGCCCCCCACACGGGUACUGAGACACGGACCCGACUCCUACGGGAGGCAGCAGUAAGGAAUAUUGGACAAUGGACGGAAGUCUGAUUCAGCCAUGCCGCGUGAAGGAAGAAGGCGCUCAGCGUUGUAAACUUCUUUUGGACGGGAACAAAAUGCGCCACUUGUGGUGUACUGAGGGUACCGUCAGAAUAAGCACCGGCUAACUCCGUGCCAGCAGCCGCGGUAAUACGGAGGGUGCGAGCGUUAUCCGGAAUCACUGGGUUUAAAGGGUGCGUAGGCGGUCAGAUAAGUCAGUCGUGAAAUCGUUGGGCUUAACCUAUACAAUUGCGAUUGAUACUGUUUGACUUGAAUCAGGUUGAGGUGGGCGGAAUGUGGCAUGUAGCGGUGAAAUGCAUAGAUAUGAUACAGAACACCGAUUGCGAAGGCAGUCUGCUAAGCCGUGAUUGACGCUGAGGCACGAAAGCGUGGGUAGCAAACAGGAUUAGAUACCCUGGUAGUCCACGCCCUAAACGUUGAACACUCGAUGUUGGCGAUACACUGUCAGCGUCCAAGCUAAAGCGUUAAGUGUUCCACCUGGGAAGUACGAUCGCAAGAUUGAAACUCAAAGGAAUUGACGGGGGCCCGCACAAGCGGAGGAGCAUGUGGUUUAAUUCGAUGAUACGCGAGGAACCUUACCUAGACUUAAAUGGAACCGGACCGCUGCCGAAAGGUGGCUUUCCUUCGGGACUGGUUUCAAGGUGCUGCAUGGCUGUCGUCAGCUCGUGCCGUGAGGUGUUGGGUUAAGUCCCGCAACGAGCGCAACCCCUGCUUUCAGUUGCUACCGGGUCAUGCCGAGCACUCUGAAAGGACUGCCCAGGAUAACGGGGAGGAAGGUGGGGAUGACGUCAAGUCAGCAUGGCCUUUAUGCCUGGGGCCACACACGUGCUACAAUGGCCGGUACAAAGCGCUGCAAACCUGCAAAGGGGAGCCAAUCGCAAAAAACCGGCCUCAGUUCAGAUUGAGGUCUGCAACUCGACCUCAUGAAGGCGGAAUCGCUAGUAAUCGCAGAUCAGCAUGCUGCGGUGAAUACGUUCCCGGGUCUUGUACACACCGCCCGUCACACCAUGGGAGUGGGUUUCACCAGAAGUAGGUAGCUUAACCUUCGGGAGGGCGCUUACCACGGUGAGAUUCAUGACUGGGGUGAAGUCGUAACAAGGUAACC
rnacentral:rRNA from 1 species